rnacentral:rRNA from 1 species
GACGAACGCUGGCGGCGUGCCUAACACAUGCAAGUCUGGGAGAAUAAGGUAGCAAUAUCUUUAGUAAACCGGCGCACGGGUGAGUAAUAUAUAGGUAAUAUGCCUCUUACUAAGGGAUAACAAAUGGAAACGUUUGCUAAUACCUUAUACUCCUUAUUAACAUAAGUUAAUAAGGGAAAGAUUUAUUGGUAAGAGAUUAGCCUGUAUUGUAUCAGUUAGUUGGUGGGGUAAUGGCUUACCAAGACUAUUACACAUAACUGGUUUGAGAGGAUGAUCAGUCACACUGGAACUGAGACACGGUCCAGACUCCUACGGGAGGCAGCAGUGGGGAAUAUUGCACAAUGGACGAAAGUCUGAUGCAGCAACGCCGCGUGGAGGAUGACACAUUUCGGUGCGUAAACUCCUUUUAUAUGAGAAGAUAAUGACGGUAUUAUAUGAAUAAGCACCGGCUAACUCCGUGCCAGCAGCCGCCGUAA